UUGAACGCUGGCGGCAGGCCUAACACAUGCAAGUCGAGCGGUAGCACAGAGAGCUUGCUCUCGGGUGACGAGCGGCGGACGGGUGAGUAAUGUCUGGGAAACUGCCUGAUGGAGGGGGAUAACUACUGGAAACGGUAGCUAAUACCGCAUAAUGUCGCAAGACCAAAGUGGGGGACCUUCGGGCCUCAUGCCAUCAGAUGUGCCCAGAUGGGAUUAGCUAGUAGGUGGGGUAACGGCUCACCUAGGCGACGAUCCCUAGCUGGUCUGAGAGGAUGACCAGCCACACUGGAACUGAGACACGGUCCAGACUCCUACGGGAGGCAGCAGUGGGGAAUAUUGCACAAUGGGCGCAAGCCUGAUGCAGCCAUGCCGCGUGUGUGAAGAAGGCCUUCGGGUUGUAAAGCACUUUCAGCGGGGAGGAAGGCGUUAAGGUUAAUAACCUUGGCGAUUGACGUUACCCGCAGAAGAAGCACCGGCUAACUCCGUGCCAGCAGCCGCGGUAAUACGGAGGGUGCAAGCGUUAAUCGGAAUUACUGGGCGUAAAGCGCACGCAGGCGGUCUGUCAAGUCGGAUGUGAAAUCCCCGGGCUCAACCUGGGAACUGCAUUCGAAACUGGCAGGCUAGAGUCUUGUAGAGGGGGGUAGAAUUCCAGGUGUAGCGGUGAAAUGCGUAGAGAUCUGGAGGAAUACCGGUGGCGAAGGCGGCCCCCUGGACAAAGACUGACGCUCAGGUGCGAAAGCGUGGGGAGCAAACAGGAUUAGAUACCCUGGUAGUCCACGCCGUAAACGAUGUCGAUUUGGAGGUUGUGCCCUUGAGGCGUGGCUUCCGGAGCUAACGCGUUAAAUCGACCGCCUGGGGAGUACGGCCGCAAGGUUAAAACUCAAAUGAAUUGACGGGGGCCCGCACAAGCGGUGGAGCAUGUGGUUUAAUUCGAUGCAACGCGAAGAACCUUACCUGGUCUUGACAUCCACAGAACUUUCCAGAGAUGGAUUGGUGCCUUCGGGAACUGUGAGACAGGUGCUGCAUGGCUGUCGUCAGCUCGUGUUGUGAAAUGUUGGGUUAAGUCCCGCAACGAGCGCAACCCUUAUCCUUUGUUGCCAGCGGUUAGGCCGGGAACUCAAAGGAGACUGCCAGUGAUAAACUGGAGGAAGGUGGGGAUGACGUCAAGUCAUCAUGGCCCUUACGACCAGGGCUACACACGUGCUACAAUGGCAUAUACAAAGAGAAGCGACCUCGCGAGAGCAAGCGGACCUCAUAAAGUAUGUCGUAGUCCGGAUUGGAGUCUGCAACUCGACUCCAUGAAGUCGGAAUCGCUAGUAAUCGUAGAUCAGAGUGCUACGGUGAAUACGUUCCCGGGCCUUGUACACACCGCCCGUCACACCAUGGGAGUGGGUUGCAAAAGAAGUAGGUAGCUUAACCUUCGGGAGGGCGCUUACCACUUUGUGAUUCAUGACUGGGGUG
rnacentral:rRNA from 1 species